rnacentral:ncRNA from 1 species
GAAAAGCCAAUCGAACUCGGAAAUAGCUGGUUUUCUGCGAAAUCUAUUUAGGUAGAGCGUAAUUUCAAUUUAAAAAAGGUAGAGCACUGUAUAGGAAAGGGUGGCCCAAAGCUUUACCAAUCCUAAGCAAACUCCGAAUAUUUUUUAAAGUAAAUUAAAGACAGACUUUGGGUGCUAAGGUCCAAAGUCAAAAGGGAAACAGCCCAGAUCGAACGCUAAGGUCCCCAAGCUAUAGCUUAGUGGUAAAGGAAAUUAGUAAGCGAAAACAACCAGGAGGUGGGCUUGGAAGCAGCCAUCCUUUGAAGAAAGCGUAAUAGCUCACUGGUCUAGUUUACUAGUGCCUAAAAAUGUAACGGGGCUCAAGCUAUACACCGAAGCGACGAUUUGCCAUACUGUAUUUGUAUUUCUUUUCUUAGCUAAUUGUAUUAGCAUAUGAAUUAGUAAAAUAAAUACACAUGUAUGGCUUAGGUAGCAGAACGUUCUGUACAUUAUUGAAAUUAGAUUGGAAAAUCAUUAUUGGAAAUAUCAGAAGUGAGAAUGCUGACAUGAGUAACGUAAAAUUCUGUGAAAUUCAGAAUCGCCGGAAGUUGACGGGUUUCUACACACUGUAAAACAGUGUAGAGUUAA